rnacentral:rRNA from 1 species
GUGUCAGCCGCCGCGGUAAUACGUAGGCAGCAAGCGUUGUUCGGAGUUACUGGGCGUAAAGGGUGUGUAGGCGGUUGCUUAAGUUUGGUGUGAAAUCUCCCGGCUUAACUGGGAGGGUGCGCCGAAUACUGAGUGACUAGAGUGCGGGAGAGGAAAGUGGAAUUCCUGGUGUAGCGGUGAAAUGCGUAGAUAUCAGGAGGAACACCGGUGGUGUAGACGGCUUUCUGGACCGUAACUGACGCUGAGACACGAAAGCGUGGGUAGCAAACAGGAUUAGAAACCCUCGUAGUCC